CUACGGGCUGCUGCAGUGGGGAAUAUUGCACAAUGGACGCAAGCCUGAUGCAGCCAUGCCGCGUGUAUGAAGAAGACCUUCGGGUUGUAAAGUACUUUCAGCGGGGAGGAAGGGAGUAAAGUUAAUACCUUUGCUCAUUGACGUUACCCGCAGAAGAAGCACCGGCUAAAUCCGUGCCAGCAGCCGCGGUAAUACGGAGGGUGCAAGCGUUAAUCGGAAUUACUGGGCGUAAAGCGCACGCAGGCGGUUUGUUAAGUCAGAUGUGAAAUCCCCGGGCUCAACCUGGGAACUGCAUCUGAUACUGGCAAGCUUGAGUCUCGUAGAGGGGGGUAGAAUUCCAGGUGUAGCGGUGAAAUGCGUAGAGAUCUGGAGGAAUACCGGUGGCGAAGGCGGCCCCCUGGACGAAGACUGACGCUCAGGUGCGAAAGCGUGGGGAGCAAACAGGAUUAGAUACCCCAGUAGUC
rnacentral:rRNA from 1 species